rnacentral:rRNA from 1 species
UGGGGAAUAUUGGACAAUGGGGGGGAACCCUGAUCCAGCCAUGCCGCGUGUGUGAAGAAGGCCUUAUGGUUGUAAAGCACUUUUAAGCGAGGAGGAGGCUACUUUAGUUAAUACCUAGAGAUAGUGGACGUUUACUCGCAGAAUAAGCACCGGCUAACUCUGUG